CCGCUUUUCCAACCAGAAAUGAAGGGCGUGCGAGGAGAAAGAACCCACCGACCGAUGGACGGCCCGGAUAUCUUCCUAUCCCACCCCCCGUUCUUGGUCAGACUUGCAUGCUACGAUAUUCUACGCGUGCCGGCCGGGCCUUCAAACGUUCCAAAUUCCCCGUCCACAUUUGUUGACAGAUCUUCCAAACCCUACCUAUAUCUCUCGCCCCCAGGCAUCGCCUAUCGCCCGCCUCUUUCAUUCGUCGAAUGAUUUAUUGUUCUCUCUAAUUAAGGUCAGAUUCUUGGUCUUCUUCGGAUUCUUAAGAGGUAUGUCUGAAUUAUGCUCGUCUUUCUGGUGCUCGCUUUAGAUCUGGUUAAUCUUGGAUGAGAUCUUGCAUUUAUUAUAUUUUACGGCGAUUUGGUGGGAGGAUUUGAGCUGAUUCACCUGAGAUUUAUUUGGCGUUGAGAAAUAUUAGAAUCGUGUUCCUUGAUGUUAUAUAUGGGAAGAAAUUUGAUCCGAAAGGGCGAAGUUUCGUUACAUUCUUGCUAUGAUCUUAAUUACUCUCGGUGAAUUCUUUUUGGACUUUAUAUAUCACGGGAGAUUUUUUCCGUUUCUUGCGUUUAGUUUCAUCUUGCUUUUCUCAUCACUACCUUUUAGCUUUAGGAAUAUUGUAUUUUUUUUGAAUUAUCAAUUCUCUCUCUCUCUCUC
rnacentral:lncRNA from 1 species